UCUUAUAACUCUCCUAAGCUGGACCUUAAAACUUGAACUUGAAGCUCACUUAGAUUUCUCCUGGAAGACUUUGAGUUGAUGGAAACCAUGGCGUUGUGGAGGGCAUGAACUGAUUUAUCAUGCUGAGAUUCGUUCAUUUUUUUACCUAAAGGGACAUAGGAAAGCAGUUUCUUCCAGAUUUCUGUUGCUUCUUUAUAUGACACAUUCUCAGUGAAUUUGAAAACCUAAUUGGAGCAAUCCUAGUCCAAGGACAUUGGAAGAAGGUUUUGGAUUCCUUGUCAAUUCCUUGUCAAUUCCAGUUAUCAGCGAUUGUGAGCUCUGAGAAGACAAAAUAAUGUUAAAAUUAGAAUCAGCAAAAAAUAAUUA